rnacentral:rRNA from 1 species
UGGGGAAUAUUGGACAAUGGGCGCAAGCCUGAUCCAGCCAUGCCGCGUGCAGGAUGAAGGCCUUCGGGUUGUAAACUGCUUUUGUACGGAACGAAAAGGCUCUUUCUAAUAAAGAGGGCACAUGACGGUACCGUAAGAAUAAGCACCGGCUAACUACGUGCCAGCAGCCGCGGUAAUACGUAGGGUGCAAGCGUUAAUCGGAAUUACUGGGCGUAAAGCGUGCGCAGGCGGUGAUGUAAGACAGUUGUGAAAUCCCCGGGCUCAACCUGGGAACUGCAUCUGUGACUGCAUCGCUGGAGUGCGGCAGAGGGGGAUGGAAUUCCGCGUGUAGCAGUGAAAUGCGUAGAUAUGCGGAGGAGCACCGAUGGCGAAGGCAAUCCCCUGGGCCUGCACUGACGCUCAUGCACGAAAGCGUGGGGAGCAAACAGGAUUAGAUACCCUGGUAGUCCACGCCCUAAACGAUGUCAACUGGUUGUUGGGUCUUCACUGACUCAGUAACGAAGCUGACGCGUGAAGUUGACCGCCUGGGGAGUACGGCCGCAAGGU